UCUUUGCCCAUUUCUCUAGUACUAAUGGUGGGAUAAGAUCAAUUCAAAGACAGAGGAUUGUGCAUGGAAUCUCCUAUGCGUCAAUUUGAUUGAUCUUGCAAGGAAGUGUUGCUGAUUGCAUCACAGCAAUCACUUAUUAUAUUGCUGUUCACCUGGUGCUUGGAGUUUUGACUGACCUUUCUAAUGACCUGGACCGGAUUUCCUGAUGGAUAAACUGUAGAUUGACAGUGUUUCAUUCAGAGCCAUUACUAUAGCCCAUGGCUAGCAAGCUGCUGUGAAACUCUUCCUUUUGAGUAUCUGCACUAUAACAGUGCCAACAAAAUGCAGAAGCAAGUGGAGAUCAGAAUGCAAGAGAGUCAUCUGGACCUUCCUCCACUGCCUGAAGAGUCCAUGUGUGGAGGCUUCUGUGACAAAAUCAUGAAGCAUCUGUUACUUACGCUCACAGUUUUUGGUGUGAUCACUGGUUCAGUAGCUGGUAUUCUGCUGCGUUACGCAUCACCACUCCCCGCUGAUGUUAUAAUGGUCAUUGCCUUCCCGGGUGACAUUCUCAUGAGGAUGUUAAAAAUGGUGAUUUUGCCUCUGAUCAUCUCAAGUUUGAUCACAGGAUUAGCAGGGUUGGAUGCCAAGUCCAGUGGUCGUCUGGGCACAAGGGCCAUGGUGUAUUACAUGUCUACCACCAUCAUCGCAGCUGUGUUGGGAGUUAUCUUGGUGCUCCUCAUCCACCCUGGUAACCCCAAACUGAAGGCAAACUUGGGCGAAGGCAAAAAGAACGACGAAGUGUCCAGUUUAGAUGCCUUCUUUGAUCUCAUCAGAAAUCUCUUUCCAGAAAAUCUCGUUCAGGCUUGUUUUCAGCAGAUCCAGACUGUUACUAACAAGGUAGAAGUAGCUCCUCCUCCAAAUCCAACCCGGUUUGGACGAAAUGCUACUAAGGGAGCAGCAAAAUAUGUAAUCAAGAAGUCUCUUCAAUUUAAGAGUGGCAUGAAUGUUUUAGGUCUCAUUGGGUUCUUUGUGGCGUUUGGGAUUUGCAUGGGAAAGAUGGGAGAAAGGGCCAAGCUGAUGCUUGAGUUCUUCAACGUUCUCAACGAGAUCGUUAUGAGGCUUGUUGGCGCAAUCAUGUGGUAUUCCCCCAUUGGUAUUGCAUGUCUGAUCUGUGGGAAGAUUAUUUCAAUUAAUGAUUUGGAAAUGGUGGCCAAGCAGCUGGGAAUGUACAUGGUCACUGUUAUCAUUGGACUUAUUAUUCACGGAGCCAUGUUCCUUCCCUUAAUAUAUUUUGUUAUUGUUCGGAAAAACCCAUUCACAUUCUUCAUGGGAAUCUUUCAGGCAUGGGUCACUGCUUUAGGAACAGCUUCGAGUGCUGGGACAUUACCUGUUACUUUCCGCUGUCUGGAGGAAAAUCUGGGCAUUGACAAGAGAGUGACUCGAUUUGUGUUACCUGUUGGAGCAACGAUCAACAUGGAUGGUACAGCACUUUAUGAGGCAGUAGCAGCCAUCUUUAUUGCACAGAUGAAUGGAAUAGAACUCGAUCCUGGUCAGAUCGUGACAGUCAGCCUUACAGCGACUCUCGCUAGCGUAGGAGCUGCCAGUAUUCCCAGUGCUGGUCUGGUGACGAUGCUUCUGAUCUUGACAGCUGUGGGACUACCGACUCAAGACAUCAGUUUACUGGUAGCAGUCGACUGGCUACUGGACCGUUUCCGAACAUCCGUCAAUGUCGUUGGUGACUCAUACGGUGCUGGAAUCGUGUACCACCUCUCCAAAGAUGAGCUCGACAUGUUUGAUGCACAGCAGAUAAGGCCAGAUGACUUUGAGAUGGCCAAGAAACAAUCCUUCUUUGAGAAUAACACUAACAACGGUGUAUAUGCAUCUCACAACUCCUAUCAGCCGGUCCAAAUAGAUGACUGCAAGGUACAUUUUACUCUCACAGACAUAGAAACCUGUAUGUAGAUGCUUUUAUUUAUUUCCCCGACAUUGUAUGUACCAUUGUGAUAUUUUUUUAUUUGAUUUUUUUGACACUUUUUGUAUUUUUUGGUCAUCCCUGAUGUGAAUGCAUAAGAUGUUAAACAGAAUGAAGGAAUAAUUUAAAAUACUUUAUUUAUUUGUUCUAGUACUUGGUGAAAUAGCAGUUUUGUAUAGACUUUGUAUAUCCAUAUCAGUAUUUGGACAUCAUCAAUUUGGCACUUAUACACAUGCACAGUAAAUCCUUCAAAUGUUUGUAUAGUACUAAUGCCAAGAUGCCUUUGGCUGCACUCUCUCUCUCUCUCUCUCUCUCUCAAAAAAAAAAAAAUUCUGAAAGUUUAACAAAGCAGUGCAUUAAGGCACACCUCAAUUUUGCCAUCUAGAUUUUGAAAUGACGGCUGCUAUUUCAUUUCUUUCAACUUCAGUGUUUUUAAGCUUCACAAAAAAAUGUUUGUUUUCCAUCAUUAAGAGAACUGCAGUUGUUUUCUUUCUUUUUUGUAAGUUUUAAGCCUCUUUUUGACCCAGUGUUUCACAAAUGCAUAGGUCUGUGUGGUAGCACGCGUGGCUCUUUUUCACAUCCCCUUUAGAAGAUUAGAUUUGGGCAGAGAUUCACUCUAAUUAGUAAAAAUAAUAAUAAUAAUAAUAAUUAAAAUACAAAGUUUGUAUUUACAAUAUAUAACAUUUCAAAUGAUUUUCUCUAUCUGUAUUCAGUCUUUCAGCAUUCUGUAAGGAAUCCCGCUGCAGCUAAUUAUUAUCUGUCUUGUGGUAACCUUGGCCUCAAAUGGCUCCCCUGCGGAGUUCUCACUUGUUGAGGAGGAACCAUGGAUACACGCGUAACACAGCACACAGAUCCAGCUCCGCCUUAUCCUGAAUCCCACAAUCUUAUCCUUUCUGGUGAAAACCAAAUGCUAAUUUUGUACAUAUAAACAGUCAGAAGUUACCACAGAAAGUUUCAUAUGCACAAGCAAUGACUUUUAUGACAGCAUCAGUACAUUUGAUACACAAAGGGAUGAGAACGUAUCUCAAAGUAGCGGGUGGUUCAGGUCAGGCUGCAUAUUAUUUACACUCAAGGAUUACAAUAGUUAUUAUUCUAGGCCUUGGGUUUGAGUAUCAGUCUGAAACCUGCUGCCUUAAGGCUACCACAUAGAAGGAUAGCAGUGGUUUGUCCAGCCACAGAAUGACCCUAGAGCACUACUAGUGGCAGGAGGAGAGAAGUGCAGCUUGUUUGCUGAAGAUACCUUUGACUGGCUCGGCUUACGUGGAUUAACCCUUGGUGGCAGCACCCCAGAUCAGCCUCUUAUAAGAGCUUACCAGUGUUCUUAGAGGUUCUGAAAUAGUGGUUUGCGUCCAAAUGCUGCCACUUAUAUUUAGACGCUGCCCGACGUAAAUUCCACAUCAGCAAUUACAGAGCAAUCAGACAUGAAGAAUGACACUGAGUCGCUUGACGUUAUCCGCAAGGACAUUUAAAUAUCCUGCAUAGUGGACUGAAUAGUUUUCAUUCAAACAAGUCUCCAUGUGUGUUUAUAUUUGAGGAAAGGGACUUGUAGGUUUUGUAUGUAUCUGUGUGCUUUGUUAAGUUGUUGAUUUAUUUAUUUAUUUAUUUGCUAAGUUACAAACUUGCCUUGAAGAUAUCAACUUCAAACUGCAGACGGAAGACUUUAUGACGUUAAUAUGAAAUGCAACCCCAUUUUCUUGGAUCUUAGACCAUUAAUAGUGUUUGAUUCUCUGAGGAGAAUUCUUGGAAACUCAGAUAAUUAAGUCCAGUUGAAUGGAUACUGUAUUCACACUGAUAAGAGAGUCCCUCAGGUUAUUUGGUGCUCAGGUUACAUGUUAGCAUGUAAAAGAAAAAAGAUGACCGAAAUGAGAUCUAUCAUUAAAUCUGCGCCAUUUAUUUGGUAGUCUGUAAUAGCAAAACGAUCAGCAUUCCUCUUUUGCACCAGAAUCUUAAAAUGUUCUAAUUAAAGUGCCUCCUUGCACUUUCUGUACAUAUAUAUAUAUAAAUACACAUAUGUAUGCUGUCAUAUUUUAGAUGUAUUUUUCAUGCAAAUUAAAGUGUAGUAUCAAUUUUAUGACUUUUGCCUAUUGUUUUAUAAAACAGUGGCAAUUCAUGUAUUCAAUACUGAUGCAGUAUUCAGUAUAUUACUAAGUAGAUUAGAGCGUAACAGGUUGUCUUAAGUAGUUAUUGCUCUCAUAUACUGUACAAGUCACAUGGAACAGGAUGAGUAAAAUUUAUGUAUAUGAAUGUAAGCAUAUUUUUCACUGUUACAAUUCAUGGUGAUAUUGUGUCUAAAAUAUUGUGUAUUGUUAAACAUUUUGGUAGGAAUAAUGACACUAGGGUGAAAAAGUCAAAUUACUAAUCAUUAUAAACCAGGCUUGCUACAGAUUUAACAGCCUUAUAGAGAACUUGAGUAUGUAUUUUGAGGAAAUGAAACACAACCUAGAGACAGUAUCUAUAAUGUAAAAGUGUGCACUGUUGAAAUAUCUGUUCAGGCAGGAACUGACACGGUACAGUGAUGUAUGUUAACAAAUAUUGUAUGACAAACCUGCUCUUUUUAUUUGUGCAGCCCUGUUCGGUUUCAAAAACAUUGUAUUACUUGUCUACCAAACUUGAUUUUGCAUCCAUGUCUUUUUCCUCUAUUUUUCUAUGAAACACCUGUAACAAAUUGUAAAUAAAGGCAAUGCUUCUUGUCUCA